UACGUAGGGUGCAAGCGUUAAUCGGAAUUACUGGGCGUAAAGCGUGCGCAGGCGGCGCGUUAAGACAGGUGUGAAAGCCCCGAGCUUAACUUGGGAAUUGCGCUUGUGACUGGCGUGCUGGAGUGUGGCAGAGGGGAGGUGGAAUUCCACGUGUAGCAGUGAAAUGCGUAGAGAUGUGGAGGAACACCGAUGGCGAAGGCAGCCUCCUGGGCCGAGCACUGACGCUCAUGCACGAAAGCGUGGGGAGCAAACAGG
rnacentral:rRNA from 1 species